CCUAAACUUGCCGUUGUUUUUUACCAGAAUUAUACAUGCAAGGUCUCCGCAUUCCAGUGCAAACGCCCACUAAUCCCCUAAACAGACAACCGGAGCAGGUAUCAGGCACACCAAAAGUCAAGCCAACAACACCAAGCUUCGCCACACCCACACGGGUAAUCAGCAGUAAUUGAUAUUAAGCAAUAGGCGAUCUCAAGCCUGACUUAGUCACGGUACAUUAGGGUUGGUUAAUUUCGUGCCAGCCACCGCGGUUAUACNAAAAAC
rnacentral:rRNA from 1 species